GCCUAACACAUGCAAGUCGAGCGCGCCUUUCGGGGUGAGCGGCGGACGGGUUAGUAACGCGUGGGAAUAUGCCCAAAGGUACGGAAUAGCCUCUGGAAACGGAGAGUAAUACCGUAUGUGCCCUUCGGGGGAAAGAUUUAUCGCCGAAAGAUCGGCCCGCGUCGGAUUAGCUUGUUGGUGAGGUAAAAGCUCACCAAGGCGACGAUCCGUAGCUGGUCUGAGAGGAUGAUCAGCCACACUGGGACUGAGACACGGCCCAGACUCCUACGGGAGGCAGCAGUGGGGAAUAUUGGACAAUGGGCGCAAGCCUGAUCCAGCCAUGCCGCGUGGGUGAAGAAGGCCCUAGGGUUGUAAACCCCUUUCAGCGGGGAAGAUAAUGACGGUACCCGCAGAAGAAGCCCCGGCUAACUCCGUGCCAGCAGCCGCGGUAAUACGGAGGGGGCUAGCGUUGUUCGGAAUUACUGGGCGUAAAGCGCGCGUAGGCGGACUCUCAAGUCAGGGGUGAAAUCCCGAGGCUCAACCUCGGAACUGCCUUUGAUACUGAGAGUCUUGAGUCCGAGAGAGGUGAGUGGAAUUCCUAGUGUAGAGGUGAAAUUCGUAGAUAUUAGGAGGAACACCAGUGGCGAAGGCGGCUCACUGGCUCGAUACUGACGCUGAGGUGCGAAAGUGUGGGGAGCAAACAGGAUUAGAUACCCUGGUAGUCCACACCGUAAACGAUGAAUGCCAGUCGUCGGGCAGUAUACUGUUCGGUGACACACCUAACGGAUUAAGCAUUCCGCCUGGGGAGUACGGUCGCAAGAUUAAAACUCAAAG
rnacentral:rRNA from 1 species